CAGACGGGAGGCAGGACUAGAUUGCAGCUCCGGACAGAGCAGUACGGGGAGGCUUGCAUUGUGAAUUUUAGCUGCAGAUCGCCUGCAAGAACAAACCAGCAAUCCCGAGGACCCACAGACUCCCUCAAGGAAGCAAGACUUGGGAGACCCCCUCAAAUACUACCUUGGCUUUACCCAAGUCCUCUACCAGAGCCCCUGCCUUAGGAGCCUGCUGAAAGUGUCACUCCUUGAUAGAUAGCUGCCUAGCUUCUGCAAGAUCCCUCCAAGGAACCGGACUCAGGGGCCGAGGCCCUGCCUGCUACCUGACUUCUCCAAUGCCAAGUUGCCUGCUGUAUGCAUCCCCCAACAUGGCUGCCCAGUCCCCUGUUUCCACAUCUUACCAGCCUGUGCAGAGGCUCCUACAGUCCAUGCUGGUCCCAGAUGCCUUUGUGUACCAGUGUGAUUGCUGGUGUGCCCUUUUUCUGUGAGCCAGCUCUUUAAAUUCAAGGACCUGGCCUUGCCUAGUCUGCUCCUCCUGACUGAAUUCAGCUGAGCUAUGCUUCUUGCUAUCCAGAGACCAGAGAGCCACAGCUGAAUUUCUGACUGCUUUGCUUUACUACCCUGCUAGUCUCCACUGGUCAAUAGGCCUAAAUACCAGAUCAAGCAAGUGGCUUAUUAGAAACAGUAAGAAGCAGAAAGUUUG
rnacentral:lncRNA from 10 species